rnacentral:rRNA from 1 species
AGUGAGCGCUGGCGGUAGGCCUAACACAUGCAAGUCGAAUGGCAGCACAGUAAGAGCUUGCUCUUACGGGUGGCGAGUGGCGGACGGGUGAGGAAUACAUCGGAAUCUACUUUUUCGUGGGGGAUAACGUAGGGAAACUUACGCUAAUACCGCAUACGACCUACGGGUGAAAGCAGGGGAUCUUCGGACCUUGCGCGAUUGAAUGAGCCGAUGUCGGAUUAGCUAGUUGGCGGGGUAAAGGCCCACCAAGGCGACGAUCCGUAGCUGGUCUGAGAGGAUGAUCAGCCACACUGGAACUGAGACACGGUCCAGACUCCUACGGGAGGCAGCAGUGGGGAAUAUUGGACAAUGGGCGCAAGCCUGAUCCAGCCAUACCGCGUGGGUGAAGAAGGCCUUCGGGUUGUAAAGCCCUUUUGUUGGGAAAGAAAAGCAGCAGGUUAAUACCCCGCUGUUCUGACGGUACCCAAAGAAUAAGCACCGGCUAACUUCGUG